GACGAACGCUGGCGGCGUGCUUAACACAUGCAAGUCGAACGGAAAGGCCCUGCUUUUGUGGGGUGCUCGAGUGGCGAACGGGUGAGUAACACGUGAGUAACCUGCCCUUGACUUUGGGAUAACUUCAGGAAACUGGGGCUAAUACCGGAUAGGAGCUCCUGCUGCAUGGUGGGGGUUGGAAAGUUUCGGCGGUUGGGGAUGGACUGGCGGCUUAUCAGCUUGUUGGUGGGGUAGUGGCUUACCAAGGCUUUGACGGGUAGCCGGCCUGAGAGGGUGACCGGUCACAUUGGGACUGAGAUACGGCCCAGACUCCUACGGGAGGCAGCAGUGGGGAAUAUUGCACAAUGGGCGGAAGCCUGAUGCAGCAACGCCGCGUGCGGGAUGACGGCCUUCGGGUUGUAAACCGCUUUCGCCUGUGACGAAGCGUGAGUGACGGUAAUGGGUAAAGAAGCACCGGCUAACUACGUG
rnacentral:rRNA from 1 species